rnacentral:rRNA from 1 species
UGGGGAAUAUUGCACAAUGGGCGCAAGCCUGAUGCAGCAACGCCGCGUGAGGGACGACGGCCUUCGGGUUGUAAACCUCUUUUGGCAGGGAAGAAGCGAAAGUGACGGUACCUGCAGAAAAAGCACCGGCUAACUACGUGCCAGCAGCCGCGGUGAUACGUAGGGUGCAAGCGUUGUCCGGAAUUAUUGGGCGUAAAGAGCUCGUAGGCGGUUUGUCGCGUCUGCUGUGAAAACCCGAGGCUCAACCUCGGGCCUGCAGGGGGUACGGGCACACUAGAGUGCGGUAGGGGAGAUUGGAAUUCCUGGUGUAGCGGUGGAAUGCGCAGAUAUCAGGAGGAGCACCGAUGGCGAAGGCAGAUCUCUGGGCCGUAACCGACGCUGAGGAGCGAAAGCAUGGGGAGCGAACA